GAAUUGUCUUCUUUUUUCAGCUGCUACUCUGCUAAGACAAGAGUUAGCCCCUGAGCUAUGUUAUCAGUUCAAGGCUUUGCAGAUAGCGCUGUAUCGUGGGGGAAAAAUGAACAUGGUUUUCAAAAAGGAGGAGAACAUUUCUAUAACGUUGAGACUUUUAGUAAUCAGGGCUAUUGAUGUCAGAUGGCUGUUGGGACAAAUGA
rnacentral:lncRNA from 1 species